rnacentral:rRNA from 1 species
UACGUAGGGGGCAAGCGUUGUCCGGAAUCAUUGGGCGUAAAGCGCGCGUAGGCGGCCCUGUAAGUCCGUUGUGAAAGUCGAAGGCUCAACCUUCGAAAGCCGAUGGAUACUGCAGGGCUAGAGUCCGGAAGAGGCGAGUGGAAUUCCUGGUGUAGCGGUGGAAUGCGCAGAUAUCAGGAGGAACACCUAUUGCGAAGGCAGCUCGCUGGGACGUGACUGACGCUGAGACGCGAAAGCGUGGGGAGCGAACAGG